rnacentral:lncRNA from 1 species
UGAGAGUGAAUAAGAAGAGGGGUAAGAAGAGCCCUUGUUAAGCUGGCUCUCAGUACAUUAGCCCUCCCUAUCCUUCAGGCCCCAUGAAUGACUUUCUCUGCCCUUUAUUCUAUAGUAGUCAUUUGAUAAGGAUUAGGAAUAUGCCAAAUGAAGGAAUAUUGACUAGCUAUUUCAUGUGUUUAAUUUUAAAGCUGUUUUUGGUCAAGAUCCCCCGGAACCACUCUUGAGAUGGAGAUUUGUAUCCAAGAAGUGUAGUAGAGAAUGCUUUCAGCAGUAGCACUUAUGAAAGAAGCAGAGGGACUAGUUGAAAUACAGUGCAGCCAAUCCCAUUGGGAGCCACAGAGCUAGGGUGGCCCUUUAGAGUUAUACUAAAUUGAGGCAAGUAGCCAGAGUUUUGUGCCUCCCAACAACUAGCCACAAAAUAAGAGCUGUUCCUCAAGUGAGGUAGCUCCCUUUGGCCAAGAGCAGUUCCUGGAGAGGGACUGAGCUAUGAAUCAGCAACAUGCAGUACUCCCCACCAGCGGCAGAGAGUGCUUAAAGAGGGUAAAAUAAGUUGACAGCCUUCUGGGAGUAGCUCCUGUAGGAUUCUGGUUGUUGUCUUUCCUAGGGAAACUUACAAGAGGAAGGUUAGUGGUGUAAAUUAGCCCCUACUGUGGCUAUCACAGCAGGAAAGUAGAAGCAAAAGUCCCAUUAAGCUUUAAGCUAAGGCUCCCCCUAUCAUGUUGGAUUUCAUGUGCCAAAGCCAGCAGGCAAGGAAUGGAGUCACUGGAGGAGGUAAAUGAUUCUG